UCAAUUAAGUACGCUACCCACCGGGAGGAGAGUGAUCGAUUCUUUGUGUACACAUCGAGACCGACAGGAGAAUGGUAGUCGAGGCCGGAAGAAAUGGGCACGAGUUGGCUCCGUUGAACAACCACCGCCAAGUCCACAACGUGACGAUCGUGGCGGCCGGAAGUCAAAAUGUUACCGUCGGUCAGGAGACGAAGGAGGAAAACAGGGCGGCAUGGAGCGGGAAAAUGCAAUUCUUCCUCAGUAUUAUCGGGUACAGCGUCGGUCUGGGCAAUAUCUGGAGGUUUCCUUAUCUGUGCCAACAGAACGGAGGCGGUGCCUUCCUCCUUCCUUUUUUCGUGAUGCUCAUCUUGGAGGGUAUACCCCUCUUCCUGAUCGAGCUGGGUCUCGGACAACGUAUGCGGCAGGGCGCCCUGGGCGUUUGGAACACAAUACACCCUUGGCUAGGAGGUAUAGGAAUCGCGUCGUGUAUAGUGACGUUUUUCGUUUCGCUUUACUACAACGUAAUUAUUACCUGGUGCGUCUACUACCUCUUCAACUCGCUCGAGGCUAUCACGAUUAAAUUUGGUGAAUCACUGCCGUGGGCAAAAUGCCCGGAAUUGGAUGGAAAGCCGGUCGAGGAAUGUGUCAGGAGUUCGGAAACCGAAUAUUUUUGGUACAGGACUACUUUGGAUGCAGCACCGUCCAUUGAGGACGGCCAAGGUCUCAAAUGGUGGAUCGUACUCUGUCUCUUGCUCAGCUGGAUCGUCGUGUUUUUCAUCGUUAUGAAGGGAAUACAGUCGUCCGGCAAGGUGGUAUACUUUACGUCCAUGUUUCCGUAUCUCGUGCUAACCAUCUUCUUCAUCCGCGGGAUAACAUUGAAAGGUGCGGGCGCCGGACUGGCGCACAUGUACACGCCAAAGGUCGAGAAAUUGGCUGAACCAAUGGUCUGGCUUGAUGCGGCGACUCAGGUCUUCUAUAGCUUCGGACUGGCGUUCGGCUCCCUGAUCGCGUUCGGCAGCUACAACACUCCCAACAACAACUGCGUGAGGGACGUGAUCCUGGUGAGCGUGUGCAACGCGUUUACUGCCAUUUACGCGAGCGUUGUCAUUUUCGCCAUUUUGGGGUUCAAGGCAAUGUCAAACGUGGACAAGUGCGUUGUCAGCGCGAAGGAUACCCUGAUACAACAUGGAUUGCUGGGUAAUUCGACCCCAUUCGAGUUCGAACAAUACGAAAAAUUUAUGAACACCUUCAACUCUUCAAGCAUAAACAUCACAAUGAAAGAAUGCAGUCUCAGCACCGAAUUGGACAAAGCUGCCGAGGGCACCGGAUUGGCUUUCAUCAUAUUCACGCAGGCGAUCGUAGAAUUACCAGGCGCGCCGUUUUGGUCUUGCAUUUUCUUCAUGAUGCUUCUCGCCCUCGGCCUGGGCUCGCAAAUCGGAUUACUCGAGGGUAUGCUGUGCGUAAUCUUCGACAUAGAUCUCUUCAAGAGAAUAAAGAAGCAAUACAUGACAGGAGUUGUCUGCAUCAUAUGCUUUUUCGUGGGGCUCAUCUUCUGUACUGGCGCUGGAGAGUAUUGGCUGAAGAUGUUCGACAGUUUCGCCGGUACCAUCGGUCUCGUUAUAGUCGCCCUGAUGGAAAUGAUCUCCGUGGUCUACAUAUACGGUCACGAAAAAUUUACGAAGGACAUCGAAGAGAUGACCGGAUAUAAACCUGGGCUUUAUUGGCAAAUCACGUGGCGAUUUCUCGCUCCCUUAAUAAUGGCGGGCAUCCUUCUGUUUAGCGUCGGUUCCAUGUUCAUCACGAAACCGCAAUAUUCGGCAUGGAAUGCGACAACGGGUGAGGCAAAAAAAACGGAUUAUCCUGGCUGGGUGCUGGGCAUCGCCGGCAUUAUUAUUUUGGCGGGUAUUGCUCCGAUUCCGAUCGUUUACAUUUUACGUCGUUUCCAAUUGGUGAAACUCGACGUGGACAUACAUCAAGGCAGUAUUCGACGUAUCGACACUACCGUUUCUACUAAGGAGAUGAUGGGCGACGUUGAUUUGUAGGUAAGCAUCAAUUGAGUCUGUGGUAACGUCGAUUACUCGAUAUCCCCGUAGCUACGUUACACCUUGACGAAUAUCACGAUCGGCUCGAGGACUUCCCGGAAGAAGACGAAGACGUUAACAGCGACGAUGAUACAAACGCCGCACCGACUAUGAGUAAAUUAGCUAACAAAGCAAUGAAGGGUAGGGCCUUCAAAAUGGAAGUAAUGAACUUUUAAAAACGUAUAAUCAGCGAGACCUCUUCCGUUUGUUCGUGAGUUGUACGAUAAUAACAGAUAUCAGAUUAUAUAUAUAUAAAGACCCAAAAAGAUUUGCUAAAUUAUCUCUAGAAUUUGCGAGAUAAAUUUAUGCUCUCUAUUAUUAUAUAAAAAAGUAUACACACUAAUAAAAUAGUUAUUUUGUCUUACAGUCACAUGUAAACAUUCACGAAAAAUAGAUUUUAACAAAGAAUAAUAUAUAUACAUAUAAAUAUAAUUAUAUAUAUUUAUGUUUAUAAUUACAUUAUAACUCAUAAUGUAUAUAUUAUGUAUAUAUUAUUAUCUUGCUACCUUAUCUCUGAUUUGAAAAAUAGUUUUGCUAUAAAGACUCAGUUUAUUCAAGUUCUGGAUAAGAUUUAAAUUUUAUUUUAAGUCUUUAAUUUCUAUGUAAAGAUUUUACAAAUUUAGUCUUUAUAUAUCUAUAAUUAUUGAUACCUCUCAGGGCGCUGUGCGUCUUUAAAAUUGAACAUAUCGAGCAAAUGAACAACAAAUGAAUAGCGACCAAUGUUAUUUAAUACUCUUUUUAAUGUAUCUGGAGCAUUACGAAUGAAUGCAUCAAACGCGAAUCAAACAUCAACAAUGUAUAUUCAACACGAUUUAUAUCUCUUUUAAAAUUUAAUGAGGAAAGUUCGCGUCCUCUCAUUGUUCAUUUGCUCGAACGAUAGGGUACGUCGAUCGUUCUUCUCGUACAUUAUAUACGUAAAUCUGCGUUAAAUGGAUCUAGGGUAAACCGCGAAUUCACUGUAAAUCGAGCUCAAUCUGUCGGAUCGCGACACCACCAAAAGCAAUAUGUAAUACGGAAAUACAUUUUAGAGGUGUGGCGCAAAAGAGCGACCAACUGCGUAGCGACGGUUCAGUGUUCAAACUUUACCGUCGCGCAUCGACACUUCCAGGUAAAAUCGCGAAUUAUCAGGUGAAUCACGAUAGCGUAACGCGUAUAGCGGGCAAAAAAAUAGCGAAGAGAAUAGAAUGUUCUGGCUUUUUAGUAUCGUGUGAUAUGGAGACGAUCGGACGUGGGAUCCUGGAUUUCGUCCGUGUCAAUUCAAUUUUAAUUAAAUGCGAUUUUUUUAAAUAGAUCGGUAGUUUGAUCUACGAAGGAUGAGAGAGAGAGAGAGAGAGAGAGAGAGAGAGAGAGAGAGAUGGUCGAAGAGACUAGACAAUAAAAUUUAACGUAGUCGAAUUGUUAGCCCAACGUAGACGAUUUGUUUACUGCUUUCUACAUCGUCCCGGUGUAAUGUGUACUUUUGAUUCCUCCGAGGUUCUACCUUAUGCAUGUCAUGACUGUUCAGAGCUGAUCGAUCUUGUUUUCGAAGAUAUUCCAUAAGUAAUAUUUACUAAACAAAAUUACUUUUUUCAUUAAUUUCUGGAUUGUUAAUUCUUACAUUCUUUUCACUAUAAUUAACACAUUUUAAAAAAAGAAAAUUAUUUCUUUCUUUUAUAAGUACAUAAUAUGUGUCAUUUGAGUAUAAUAUUUCAGUUUGGAAAGCAUAAAUUUUCUUAUACGUCUGUAUAAUAUAAAAUAAUAUGCUAUUAAAAGUAUAUGUAUACAUUAUGUAUACAUUUUACAUUUUUAAUUUAAAACAUUAAUUAGUUUAGUAUCUCGUAUAAAAGAAUGGAAAAAGGAAAUACGAUCGAUUAAAUCAAUGUUAGCUAACGAUACGUUCGGCGCUCAGUUCGGCAAACGAUUACGUCAAACACGUGUAAAUUACGUUUUUAAUUGAUAAUUGGUUAAAUUACAUUACGCAAGAAAGUAAUUAUCCAUAUUAGUUUUAAAAUUGUCAUGAAAGUAAUGUAGUUUUCAUUUUUACUCAAAUACGCGGUCAUUAACACUAGGCUAUCAUUAAUUUAAAUGUUGUAGGAAACGUCGUAGAAGCGAUGUCUUAGAUUCUGUAUUGCUAAUUUCGCCAGAAAAGAAAAAAACCGAGAAUUCGCGCGGUGCCAUUAAGACAUUUCGAUAAGAUAUAUUACCGAUGCAGGACAUGCUGGUAGAAUUAAACUUGGCAUCGUGUUGCACGAGAUAUCCCGCGCUCGUUUCUCGCGAAUGCGCGCGGGAGUCUUCCGCUAUUGCAAGAAUGACAGAUCUCUUUCUUUCGAGAAGAGCAGUCCCUCGCGCGGGGCACUCAGCAUCGUUUGGCUGGUCCAGCUAUUUUGGGUACGGAAAUAUUAUACACAUAUACCGAUUUUCCGCGCUAGGACGGAUGAUCAACGUGGUGGUCGGUAUGCCAAGUCCCAUCCUCCGAGUCCUCGCCCUUGUGAGACAAUGUGAUGACAUAUUGAUGUUAAGAAAAACGUCGGUCGAAUAAACGUAAUGUCAAUAAUAAUUAAACAGAAAAAAAAAUGCGAUCCGGAAGUCACGCGUGCGAAUUCCUGUGCGUGGUGUUCCCUCAUUCUCGUAGAGACGCGAACCAAGCACGGGAAGGCGCGCCACCAUUGAUCAUCCUCUAUCUUACUUAUAUUGUACAUACUUUAAACUGCGAUCGAUUAAUCGCAGCGUUAAAUCAGCGGGAACGAGUACGCAGUACCGGGGACUAAUUCGCCGAGAGAAGGUCAAAUUAGUGAUCGGCGCUGUGCAAACGAGCGCGUCACAGCUUGCGCCGAGAUUGCAAGGAAGAUGGUACGCGAAAUGUAAAAUAAGAGCGAUCGGGAGAUCAUUAUAUUAAUGACAUUACGAAUUCGAUGAAACGAAUGCGUAACGCGUGUGUGCCAUUAUUGUAAAUAAUAACUCGUGUGGCGUGAUGUCACAAAUCGCAUCUAAAUUGAUACCUCGUGAGAUACCUAUUUUUUGAAUCGCUUAGAAUAUAAUGUCGACAUACAUCCGUUACCGAUUUACUUUCUUCCCUAUCUCCUAUGUGAAAGUACAUUGUCCUUCGCUUCGUGUACGAAGGACGUAAGUUUAUAGGAACUAUGUCAGAAGGUGACAUAUAUAAAUCGUUGCGCAAAUUAUUCUUUUUUUCUACAAAUAUAAGUUGUACGAUAAGCGAUAGUUAUGCACACCGUUCCGAAGAAAUUUACGAGAUAACGUUAACUAAAUGUAAAACGCGUGACGCAACAAAAGCGGAUUUUCGUUAAGCGCCAUAAUUUCAAAUUUGUUUAAAUUUUAAGAUUAUACCGUCCGAGAUCGUCCCUACGAUCAUCCCCGGUGUAAAAAAGUCGCAUCAUUUUUGUAUUAUUAAUUUUAUUUUUUAUAGCUUUAAACAGCGCGCGCUAUACGUAAUAUUUAUUAUUUUGAUGAUUGAGUAAAUUUUUUUAAUUUAAUUCAUUAUUUUUUUAUUAUAAUUAGAAAGAUACAAAACUAAUUAAUAAAUAACAUAACACGUGAUUAAUUACUAUUUGGAUUUAUCUAGAUAGUAAUUAAUUACGAUGCAACUUAUAUGAUUGCAAAUGAAAAUAUUGGAAUGAGGAAUUAGCAGAAGAAAUGUUACUUUUCCUCAUUAUAAAGAAAAACGUUAAAUUCUAUUUGAUUAAACCUUUUCUUUGAUCAAAAAGUUUUUGUUCGUUAUGCAAAAGAAGAGAUAUUUUUUUCUGCUUCGGAAAGCCUCGAGGAAACCUUUUUUUUAUUUUAAGAAACUGAGAAGUAUUUUUGUAUAUUGCUUUAAAUCAAAGUAAUUAAUACAGCGUACAUUGAUUAUUAGCACAGAGUAGGGUAUCUCAGACCCCACAAUUUAAACUUAACUUUUUAAUUCUCGUUUGAGCAGAAUGAACAAAAAAUUAAAAUUAAUCUUGAUACAAUAAUUUCCUAUGUUUUUAUGUUCCUAAAUAUUCUUUCAUUAGAAAACUAAUGAAAGUAAUUAGGUCCAACAUUAGGUUCAAGAUAACCACUAGAAAAAACAUCUGAAAAGAAAUUUGUAUGUGUGUGUAUGAGUGAGAGAGAAAGAUCAUCACUAUAAUUGUGUCAACUUCUUCCACGUCACUCGUUAAGAAUUAAGGAUUUGCAAUCGUCAAUGCGACAUUCCUUCUUCUCGAAUCGAACUCUCCGCGCAUAUAUGUAAACUUAAAUUGUAAACAAAACCAUCUUCGACAAUUUAACAAUUGAGGAAUUUAAAUACAACGGUUCUUGGCCUAUCUUCUUAUCAAAACAUUCAAAUGGCACCGUAAACACAGAGAACACACGCUUGUCCUCUCGUUUCAGUAUUUAUUCGAGUUUCGCUUUAUGUCCGACGCGCUCGGUAAUUCCUCGAAGUGAUAUAUGUACAUAUAGUUAUAAAUGAUAUAAUUAAUGUUGGAUAGUUCUAUCUGGAGAUCUUAUAAUCAGAGUGACCAUAAGAUAGCCACUUGGUUUACCCAAUUUCGAGAGAGAGAAAGACAAGACAAAAAUAAAAAAAAGAUUAAAGAGAAACAGCUAGUAUUCUCUCUCUCUCACAUAAUCUUGAUCACCUUAUGGUCAAACUCUGAUUAUAGGUCUCUAGGUCUGUCUUAGGUUGCUGAAGUUCAGUUAACGUGCACACUCCUCAUCGGAAAAGUAAGAGUCUCUAUCCUGCGAAAUUUCCCUAAGUUACAUGUAACUAUUAAGAAAACGCGCGAGUGUAACGUAUUUCGUUUAUUAGGUUUAUACGUAAUGAUAACAACUUUAGUUAGACGAGAUCGAUUUCGAUAGUAAACGAGUACUUCCGAUUAUAUUUAAUUGCUCGACACACUAUGUAUGUUUUUUUUUUAUAGUGCGCGGAUGCUCAAAUUGUAAUUUGUCCUCAAACUUGAGCAUUAUCGACUAAAUACUUUUAGCGACUGAUACUUUAGACGUUUACUAGGACACAGUGUACACAGGAUUCAAAGCGUUUAAAUAAAAAGCUUAUUUAUUGCCGAAAAA